GGAUAAAGCUGUAGACUCCUGAGCAACAUAGGUCCCCUUCAGCAGAAUGUCCUACUAGUCAGCAUUGGCACUUGGUCAGAAGUGAUUGGUGUUUCCGAAGCCCGAUUCCUUUCUUUGGAAGAGGGGACACUGAGACCUGCAGUGUGUAACUUACCAGGAUCUGUAAGCUCACCAGACCCACAGCCUCAGAGCAGGAUACAGGGGCUAUAUGCGUACUUGCAGCUGGACUGGCAGCAGGAAGUCAGAGGUGGUGCUACAGGUUAGCACUGGACCAUGCCCAGCUUGGCAGCCCACAGCAUUCCCUCCUCUCCUGGGCAGGCAUGGCAAAGGCUCAUAAAACCACGAGCACCGUCUACUUGGACUUUGCCGACUGGAACCAGAUGUCCUAUGAGCCAUGUCUGCCAUGUGGUCUGCACACACCCUGGGAUAGCUAACAAUGCGUGUAGCCCAACACAAAAGUUUGAACUUACUCAAAAUAUUAUGAGACUUGUUUUGUAUGUGAUUUUGUUGUCGUUGUUGUUACUUGACUGUACAGUUCUUGACUGUGAACUUGGAAGUGACACCAUGUUUUAGGAUUGAAAA